rnacentral:rRNA from 1 species
GACGAACGCUGGCGGCGUGCUUAAUACAUGCAAGUCGAACGGAAAGGCCCUGCUCUUGUUGGGUGCUCGAGUGGCGAACGCGUGUGUAACACGUGAGUAACCUGCCCUUGUCUGUGGGAUAACUUCUGGAAACUGGGGCUAAUACCCGAUAUAAGCUCCUGCUGCAUGGUGGGGGUUGGUAAGUGUCGGCGGUUGGGGAUGGACUCGCGGCUUAUCAGCUUGUUGGUGGGGUAGUGGCUUACCAAGGCUUUGACGGGUAGCCGGCCUGGGAGGGUGACCGGGCACAUUGGGACUGAGGUAGGGCCCAGACGGCUACGGGAGGCAGCGGUGGGAAAUAUUGCAGAAUGGGCGGAAGCCUGAUGCAGCAACGCCGCGUGCGGGAUGACGGCCUUCGGGUUGUAAACCGCUUUCGCCUGUGACGAAGAGUGAGUGACGGUAAUGGGUAAAGAAGCAACGGCUAACUACGUG